CUUAAAGGACACCCAGAUCACCAGGUUUCACAGAACUGGGGGGAAUGAGGAUACCGGAGGACAGUGAAGGAAUCAACAGCAGGAACAAGAACCAAAAAUGAACAAAGGACGAAACAAGGGAAAAUCUGAGGACUACUACACUUAAGGAAAAGCAUCAGCAUUUCCCUAAAGCACACACAAAGAGGGGAUGUGAACACACAGAGAGAGGACAGCCACCUACAAGCCAAGGGAAAAGGCUUCAGAAUAAAACAUACCUUUGCCAUCACCUUGAUCUCGAAAUCCUAGCCUUCAGAACUGUGAGAGAUAAAUUUCUGUUGUUUAAAGCCUCCAGUCUGUAGCACUGUAUUAUCAAAACCUGAUAAAGAACUUUAAACGUCAACUUGUUAGUUGAGCAUGGAGCCACAGGCCUUUAAUCCCAGCACUUGGGAGGCGAGAUGGAGGACUGCAAGUUCAAGACCAACCCGAGCAACUUUAGUACUUAUGACUUUGUCUCAAUAAAAAAAAAAAACGGUCUGAGGGUAUAGCUCAUUGCAAAGGUCCUGAGUUCAAUCCCCAGUACUACAAAAAAUUAAAUAAGCAAAUAAAUACCAGUUUAUUGAAUGUCCUAAACUACAGAGAGAAAAACUGAACCCUAGAAAAGGAAAGUCAUUUGCCUAGGUCCAGCUGGC
ensembl:lncRNA